AAAACCAUUAAAUUUGAUUAAUUUUGCAAUAAAGUUGUUAGAAUAAUAUAAUUAUUAAAAAAUUAAGAAAAUAUUAAUAAAAAACUUAUUUUUUGUAAUGUAUAUAAUAUUAUUUGAUAAUAUUUUUAUUUAGUUAUAAUUUUUUAAUUUUGUAAAUUUAUAGUUAUAUAUUUUAAUUGAUUGAAAUUUUUUAAUAUUAUAUAUUAUUUUCUAAUAUAAAUUUUUAAACAAAAUAUCCCUAUCCACCUAAUAUUUUGAAUCUUGAAAUUAUACUAAUCUCUAUGUAUCAUCCAUACUUAUCUAUAUUUUUAUACUUUUAUCUUAUUUUUUUUUAUGUUUUAACUUAUAUUUUGAAUUUCGGAAAUUAUACAAACUACCUUCUCUUUCAUUCAUACUAAUUAAUCUAAUCUAUUUUUUUUAAUUAUAUAUUAUUUUUUAA
rnacentral:lncRNA from 1 species